rnacentral:rRNA from 1 species
CGAUAAGCUUCGGGGAGUUGCACGUAAACUUUGAUCCGAAGAUUUCCGAAUGAGGAAACUCACUUAGAGUAAUGUCUAAGUAUCAUUAAGUGAAUACAUAGCUUAAUGAGGGGAACUCAGGGAACUGAAACAUCUAAGUACCUGAAGGAAGAGAAAGAAAUUCGAUUCCGUAAGUAGCGGCGAGCGAACGCGGAUUAGCCCAAACCAAUAAAGUUUUCUUUAUUGGGGUUGCGGACAUAUCAUAACGAAGAGGUAUCGUAAUUGAAGAGGUUUGGAAAGACUCACCACAGAAGGUAAUAGUCCUGUAUGUUAAACGAGAAGACUUCAGAUAUGAUCCAGAGUACCACGGGACACGUGAAACCCUGUGGGAAGCAGGAGGGACCACCCUCCAAGGCUAAAUACUACCUAG